rnacentral:lncRNA from 1 species
GAGAAAUAUGUUGAUGAUUCAAGGUAUAACAUAAUGAAUCUCAAAAACUCCUUAUGCAACAUCAAAAAAGGCUCAGACUCUAUUGACAAGUACUUGUUUAGAGUGAAGUCAAUAUGUGAUCAACUUGCUACAAUGGGAGUUUAUAUGGAUGAUGAAGAUAUUGUAGUCUCAGUUCUUAAUGGUUUGCCUUCAGAGUUUGCUACCAUAAAAACUGUUAUAAGAAUCAAAGCACUAAGCUCCUCUGUUUCAAUGAAAGACUUAAGGUCUCUAUUGUUGAUUAGUGAAGAUGAUAUUGAACAAACUUUGAAGUCUAUUUCAUUGUCUUUGGAGACUACUAUGGCGGCAAUUGGUGAUACUUUCAGAGGUAAUAUUCAGUCUCAUUCUUUGAAUAGUACAUGUUUACCUAGUUCUGAAAAGGUGUUUGUUGUUGUUAUUUCAAACAGCAAUGCUCUUACCAGCAACUCUUCAGAACUUGUUACUCAAUUUGUCAACUCUACUCCCGUGCCUAUCUCUGUUGAGAACCAAUCUUUUGGUACAGAUUUGAGUUCUCUUGUUUCUGCUCCUGUGACCACAUCUCUUGAGAACCAAUGUCUUGGUACACAUCUUACCACUCAAGUUACUUAUGUACCUCAGCAUACUGUUCUGCCUAACAAUAUAAACCAUGUUGCAUCUGCUUUUACUAUGAAUCCUACAUAUGUUGUUAAUGCCAUGAUGCAAAAUGGAAACUUUAGGGUACCACUCAUGUCAAAUACUGGUCAUAUGGUGACAUCUACUCCCAAUUUAUCUGUUGAUUCAAUUGUUGGGAAUAUUGGUUCUAUUGCUUAUCCUCUUGGUUCAAGUGUUGUUCCUUCGAACAAGUGAAGCUCUGUGCAAUGGCACAAUUUCUCAGCCAAACACUAGUCAUAUUCCGCAAAAUGGUGAGCCUUUGCAGCAAUGCAGUGAUUCUCCACAACAACCUUGUGACCCUUCACAUAAAAUGAGCUCUACUAACAAUGGAAAUAUCUUACAAUCUAGUGCACAUCCUUCUACUCAAGUAGGUCAACGAACUGGGUAUUUCAGCUCUAUUGUUAAUGCUUGCAAGGGUUUUGACCGAAGAGGAAGAACUACAGUUUGUUAUCCAAAUGGUGGGUGGAACAACUACAGAAUUCACAACAGCUCUCAUGUUGGCGCUUCUAGCUUAUAUGAUACUUCAAGUGGGUUGAGGAAUAAGAAGUUUGCAAUUGGAAGUCUCAAUGGCAAUGAUUUCUCAAAUGGAAUUAGUAACACUCUCGAAGCCUGUCAAAUAUGCAAUAGCAAGUGUCAUACUGCUCAAGUAUGUUCUCAAAGAUCUGCUCCUCGACAAGUUGUUGCCUCUGGAUCUUACAUGCAGUGUCAAAUUUGCAUGAAGUCAAGUCAUAGUGCUGCUGAAUGCUUAUACAUGCAUACAUAUUCUUCUCAGCAACCAACUCAUAUCCUUGAUGCUAGUCAAACUCAUCCCUUGCAUAUUGGCACUACUAGUCCAGUUCUCUCUAAAUGGCAGCAAGAAGUGCUUAAGGAAAUUGGAAGCUUUACCGGUGCAAGGCAAUUGGCGACUGUUAUCUACUUCUUCGGAUCAAACUACAUUAAAUUGUAGGCGUGCCUCUUAUCCUAUGCAGCUAUGCCAGUCACUGCCGCUCAUUAAUCCGAGUUGAAACCAAUAUUUUUGGUCACUGUAUUACUCAAGUCUUUGGCUCUUUGCUAAUGCAAUCUGAUGGUAGCUUCUCUCCCAUCAACUUAAGGGAUGGUGUUAAGAGUAAUUGUUGUAAAACAGUAAAACUUAGUCUAGCCAGUUUUACUAUUUAUCUAGAAGCCUUUUACAACUAUACUGUAUCUCUCUAAUAGCUAUAGGUAUAAUAGCUGAAGUCUUUCCCUUCCUUUAUAACACAAGAUAAUAGAUGCAAGAUAUUUUCUUUGAUUCUCUGAAUUCUCUCUAUCUCUUCACUUAAGCUUUCACAUGGAUGGCCAACCAGUAGUGCAAAUCUCCAUGAGGUGUUCUAAGUCAACUCUUCUACAUAUAGGCAAUUAGUUACUUGGCCGAAGCAUAUUCAUAUCAAGCGAGUGAUUAAUAUUGCAUACACUACAUUUAUGUUAAAGACUUCCACAAGUGUUUAACUCGCUUUGCCCAAUACAUGUGGCCCUAAAAUAAGUCUACAUACAUGAUUGGAACUGUGUCACCCAAUUACGUAGUUGCCAAGUAAAACAAAGUCUUGUGCAACUCAACUGACUAUGCGGCGAAGGCUGAUCCUGAUCAACAACUAAACAAAUUCGCCUCUAUAUAAGGGAAUUCGAGGAUCUAGUCUAUCUCUACACUCUACAAUCUACAAACACAACUACAAACUCUUGACCUAGUCGAAACUCGACGUUAAAGUAUCUUGCCUUAGCACCCUUUUACUUUCCAGGCUCUCCGGAGUCUUUGCCUUUACUUUCCAGGUUCCCCAGAGCCUUUGCACCUUUACUUUUCAAGCUUCCCGGAGCUUCUUGUUCUCAUUUUCCUUUCCUUUGGUUGCUCUACUCGUUACAAACCGCGAGUAUCGAUAUUGGUGGCGGAGAAGCUACUAUAAAUCCUCGUCCGCAAGGUGGCACCGGAGCCCUAUUUUCAUUUGAUUAGAAGCACAAGUCAACGCACUAUAUCAACAACUCUACUACUUUCCGCAUCCACGCGGUGGCACACCCAUACCCCUAGAAGCAUAUGAUACAAUUACUCCUCUCUCCCUGCUCAGAAGCGUGGCCAAAACAAUUGAUAAGUAGUGCUGCAUACAAAGUCUAGAGCUUUAGGUGCAUUAACGCUUGGAUCUUAAUGCUUUAUCAUCAUUAGUUUAGUCAUUUGUCAUUGCUUGGUUGUCGAAGUAUUGAUGCAUGUUAUAGCAUCAAUGUGUAUGAAUAUCUUCUUUUCUAAAAAUCAAGCGUGUUAGCUAGUCUCACAAGAAUACGUGCCUAGAGAAAACAAUUUUCAUGAAGAAAUUUUUUAGCAUUUGAAACUUGAAAGCAUAGCAUCUCAUGCAUUCAUUGAAAGAGACUCAAUGACUGGUAGCAAACUAGCAAUCGAUCGACACCCAGAUUUGAGUCAUAAUCAACAUUCUCAGAACAUUAUCUAAACUCACGGGUUGCAAGAGCAACCAGUGAAGGUGUACCUAGCCACCAAGGUUAUUGUACGUUAGGGAGAUGAAGGACCACAUACACCACUCUCUAACUAAGCUAUCAAACAAGUCUAAUUUCCCACAGCUAAUUUUCCAAGGUCUUCUUGUUUCUUUAUGAAAGCUUCAAACUUCAACUUUCACAGCUCUCUCUCUCUCUUCCAAAUCCACUCUUGUCUUUCUCGCUCGUUUAUGUAUCAGGAAAACAAAACAUGUGAGUGAUGUGACCCUCCUCUAAUAAACCCUCAACUUAUCCUUCUGCUUCUACAUGCAAGAACUGUUUCCUAUCACCUGCAAACAGUUAAGAAACAGAGGAGGAGGAGGAGGAGGACCAGUAUAAUAAAGGAAACCUUACAUAAUAUUAUGGUCUCUCUUCUCUAAAACUCGCAUUCCCUUUGGUCAAGUAGUUGUAGGCCUCCCUGACAUGUUAAUUGCCUCAACAGGUUAUUCUUCCUGUAGCCUUAAUAUAAAUGCCUGACAAACCCAGUCUGUAUAAUUUCGUUCCUUCCUUUCUGUUCUAUCUUAAUCUGCUACAGAGAAUACAGUCUUUGACUUCCUAGUUUGUUUCUUAUGGACUCCACUAUCUAACAUCAAGUUUGACCGGCAACAAUGUUCAGAUACUCUUUUUUAACAAGUUGAAACUUGUAGGAAAAGAAAAAGGAGGGGAUUCAAGUUCUACUCCAUAAUAUACACGACAUCUCACAACAAAAAGAAAUCAGAAUGCCAUUUUCUUUUUCUGUUGAAUUGAAGCAGUUACAAUCCAAAUUUCCAAAAACCCAAAAGGAAACCAAAAUGCUUCAGAUGCAUUGCAGUAGAAACAAUUACAUAAUCAGCCAACAGAAUGACUAGAGUUUUACAUUAGAGUUGUAGUACAAGAGUUACCAUCUAACAACAUAUUUCAAGAUCAGUCAAUCCUACUGCAAGAAACUUCAAAGUAAAAACAAUGUUGAAAUGCUCAACGGACCAAUAGCUUCAUUCCCUUCUCCGCAUACAAAUUAUCAUUUUAUGCACUCCAGCAGUGAUGUAGAGCAUAUCGACUUCAUUCUUGUAUGAAAAUUGAACCACUUCAUGUCCAUGAAACAAACAGCACUGCUAUUUCUAAAAGUGAACACAAAACAAUAGAUAAGUUAAGAGAAAAGAUUCAAUCACCGACAAUGGAACAAAUCACCACUCAAAUUUAACAUAGAACCCCGGCACUGUGCUACAUAUAACACUAAAAAUCCAUAUGUUUUCAAAUAAAACUUCUCAACAAUUAAGAGGGGAACAAUGAAACUUUUCUGGUACUGAAGUCAAAAAGCCACUAAGGUUCAUGCCUUUCACAAUAAGGCACCAUGCGCCUCUAAACAUAACAAGCAAAUUUCUUUAUCAGGCAUCAUAACACUGAAUAUAUAACCAAAAAACACUGACCAUUCCUUUCACAAAGCACCAAGCACUCAAACAAAAGCACCAAAGUGAUUUAUGAAAUAACACAAAUUUUCAUAUAUCAGACUUGUAGUCAUCUGAUAACGCUAUGCAUAUAUGCUAUGCCAUACUUUUCUCACAUUCACAUAAUAUGGGAGGAACAUGAUUCUAAAUGAAGUUCCACAGUCAACUCUUAUACCAGAGGUGGAUGAAAGCCGGAAACUUCCCAUUGACCAUAUGUGCUCACAAAUUCAACAGGUCAAGAGUAAAAUAGAAAUUUUCAAAAAGAGGUUUUUUAGACUCAUAUUCUCUCACUUUCUUCUUUUCUUAACUUCCUUGGCUCAUUUUACAGUAUAAAGGCUAACAUGUGAAAGCCACUCUGGAAAUUUUUGGCAAUCAGGUGCAGCCUGUGGUUUAAAACUGUCUCUCCAAUUAGACAAAUGAUCAUAAAUCCAGGUAAUAGUGAUGACUGAUGAAAGUAAUAGUCCAGAUGCAGUGAGCCUGCAUAAUUCAAUCAGACUAUUCAAGGACCCCAUCAAGGAAACAACCUCCCCUGGUUGGGAGCAUCAACUUUAAAUUUUGCUUCAAAACCUCCCACAGAUCCUGUUAUUAAGUUCCUGAAUCCUGAUCCUAAACUACUACUCAACCAACUACCACGAACCACCCUUAGGAAAACAGUAGGGGAGUUCUCUAAUCUGAUAAGGACACCGAGAAGGUAGCCUCGAGUUCCAUUGCAGACAUCAUGCAGAUCAGGCAAGGAUGGUAAAAGGCCCAAAAUACAUGCUUUAUUAAGAGUAAUGAAAUAGGUCCUCUAUGUUAUCAAGUAAUUCAUACACCAAGGCGUUUCUAAAUUUGAUACCGCUUAUCCUUUCUAUACAUUCAUCAGACUACAAUAUUCACAAAAGAUUCAUUUUCUAUCUUGCAAUAGUGCAGCAUAUUAUUAAUUUAAAGUGUAUCUGUGACUCCCUCUCUACUAUAAAAGGACUCUGAAAAAAACCAUCAAGCUACAAGAAUUCAGAUUUGAAAGUACAUUGUGUUCAGCAUUGUGAUCAAUUUUACUUAAUCACAUACCCAUAUGGAACAAGAGAGAAACUUGCUGGACAUGUAAAUCUUAACACUACAAGGAGACAUGAAUCUUUGAUUCUCCCUUUUCAACAUGUGUAAAAUACUAAAAUGGCAAAAGAGACAAAGGGAAAUCAUCAAUUGGGACCUAACAAUGAGACCCAUCACUCAAUCUGAGACCAUGAUUAGCAAUGUUGAGAGAUCAAGGUCCAGUAAUUUUCAGCUGGGGAUAGUAAAUCGCAAACCCAGAAGUUAUAACAGUAACAAAUUCAAAACAAAGAUGGAAAAGCAGACAAAACCCAAAGGAAAUGAAGCGGUGAAAAUAAAAAGAAAAAGGUUACCUGGAGAUGGGGCUGCAAAAGGAGCCAUGAGAAGGAGGAGAUUGGGUUGGAGUUGCAGGAACCAUUGAAAAGCCGUAAUGUUGUUUUCCUCUUUCAGCUUUUUCCUGAGUUUAACUUUAAAGCUUAAACUCUUUUCUCACUUUCUCUGUUUCAGAGCUGUGUUUUUGGUUUUAAGAAGGGUUUUAGGAUUUGCACGAAACACGAGAAGGCGUGUAAACUUUGGCUAUUUCCUGUUCUGCCCUUCCCGCCAAAUGUUCUAUCCUUGUCGGCUUGCUUUCAGUCCAGUCCAGUCCGCAGUUAUGAGCUCACUCCUACCUGUAACCAGUCUCCCAGUCCCAGCUCACAUUGCCUUUUUGUUCCCUUAUAUUUUAUGUUAUUAUUUCACAUUUACAGAGACACCAACUAAGAAGUAAGAACUAAAACCACCAGAACAGGCUUGUAGGGAUGGUCUCUGAUCAGAACCGGCAACUUCAGGUCCUUGCUAGUCUGGUUAACCGGUUUUCGCAGUUCGGUUUGUGAUUGAAACCGAAAGAUAGCUUGAUGCAUAUUCAUAAUUUCCUGAAAGAGAGACUUUUGAGUCCUGAGAAUGUUGUUUGUUUCAAACAGACUUCCAAGACUAAAGGGUUUCAUAUCAUAGCCAUGUGAAUAUAGAGCAAAAGGGAUUGCUGGACUUCCAAGACUAGAUGAUCUUCACCCCUAAGAUUUGUUUCUUUUGUGCUCACGUUCCAUGUAGGAAAUAUUCCAUUACGUUGUGUUGAAUUAAGUAAUUGCAAUUUUCACGGAAAUUUUAAAGUUAUGGGAAUUACAAUUCUAUGAAUUUAAAUUCCACUUAUUAAGAAUUUUAUUGUUUAAAUUUUAUACCGUAGAAUUUUAAAAUAACAAAAAUUAGUAUUCCUGAUAAUUCCCCUGCAUCCACACACCAUUACAGUUGUACUUUAUUGCAUUUCUUCUGUAAAUCAAGUUAUCGACAACCCGACAAGUCCUCUAGUUAUAUAUCUAUUGUGGACGAGAAUCUCACCUAGAUACUUGUACUGCUCGUAUUGAAGAUUUGAAGCUACAAACAUGUUGGCAUCAGGUUUAUGGUAAGCUACAGUCAUGCCAAUCUAAUCUGUUGAUUACAUUAUAACUUAAGGUCCUGGUUUGCAAGUUGGACAUAUUAGCCAAGUCACAGAAAACCUUCGGGUUAAUUGCAUGAGUUGAGGUUGAGAAUGGAGCUUCAGUUGUUUGGACAUUUUUACUGGUAAGCUAUGCAACUAAUGCAAGGUUCUGAUGAUAAGUUGGCAUUGGAGAAGUUAACUUGGAUUGUUCCUUUCGUCUAACUUGAUCGUGCUAUCUUGUGUUAUCCUUUCCGCUCAUCUAACUUGUAUCCUCAAUUGUUUAUACUUAAUUCCUGCCAUUGAUUUCCUGGUUUAGUAUAUAUGGCGUUUACCAGUUAUUAGCAAAGAAAAAGAAGUGAGAAUAAUGAUGUCUUUAUAUAUCAUCUAGGUCGCAGAACAAAACCAUAUGUUAUGUAAAAUUUUAAGAUGUCGAUUUUCUUUUCAUUCAGGUCAUGCUCAACUCUAGCACCAACAUACAUGUCAUAUUUCUUUCAUCUUACUUCUCAAACUUUAUCAUACGGAAAGUAAAAAAGGAUUGAUUAUUAACAAUCCUUCCUCACAUUAUCAUUAUCCCCAGAUCACAGCCUGAAACAGUAACAACCAAUUCACAUACAAACUAGAAUUUCCAGAAUUUUACAAGCGCAUUCACAAUCCUAACAGUCUCACUCUCAUUCUCAUAGAAGCAAAAUUGCAGAGAGAUUGAGAAGAGUGAUACUCACAAGCGUGUGGUGGAGGAAAUGGACACAGUGGCACCUAGAGCUUUUGGAUUUCUUACCCCACCUGGUCUUGAUGCAUCAAUAAAAGCAUGGAUGUCUCUAAUUGUAUGGUAAGUGUUGAUGGGAGAUACCAUCCGAGUACCAUCUGCCAACCUUAGCUGAAUAGAGAUCGAUGGCAAUGACUGAUCAACGUACAGUUAAGCCCAUUGAUGGCAAUGGAGCAGUUGUAACUCCGAGGUACUGCCACCUAAAGUACUUCCACACCCUGAGAAGCAGCCUGACCCCACUGCUUCACUGGUUCCUGCAAAUAGGUUAAGCAACUAGACAUCAGAAACAACGUAUAGGAUCAGAUCAACAACAAACAUACUACGAGAACAUAGGAUAGGACUAGCACACACAGGGUAGUCUCCAUCGCGCUUCAUAGGACUGACAUGAAAAGUAGUCCUCCUACUAGCUGGUUCAAGCUCUUUUGGGCACUCAGUCUUCUUGAAUAUCUGCAAUUUAAUAACACAAUCUCUAUUAACAGAGAAAGAAAAACCAGAAAAUAGAGAUCAACAAAGUGCAACAAACAAGUGCAAUAAAAGGCAAAAGAAGAGCAACUAAUAAUGGCAUGUAAGCAAACCAACUUAUAUAUACCGCUCUCACCUCUUAUUACAACUUAUUACAACGGCUCACCUUUUACCAAAAUAAUGAGGGCAAAACAUGUUUAAUUAGAUUCUAGUCAUUCCUAAGAGUUUCAGUCAAAUCUGGGCCAAUCAUGUUUAACUAGAAUACUCUCCUCUGCAAGGCCAUAUGGUACUUGACUUCCAAUCUCUAGUAGUCAAUAUAAAUUUAAGGAUUCCAGAAAAAUAAGUCACCAUCUUCCUUCAGUCUUUUAGGUCCGUUUGUAUAAAAAAAAUUAAAAAAAUAAAAACAUUACGUGGUGUUUUAAAACUUGGGACAUUCUCAAUCUAGCAUCUUCUAUAACUUCCAAAUCCUAUGACAUUUCAACAAAGAGACGACUCAAAGUAAAAAAAUAAAAAAUAAAACCAAGAAAAAAACAGAGAAUUAGUUAGCUGACUGACAGAAGAUCUGGAUCCCAAGCCUUGAAACAGAAGCUGGUAUACUCAAACAAAAAAUGUAUAGAGCUCUGAGAAUAAUUAAAAGGAUCAGAUGAUUUAACGAGAACUUACUUCCGAGAAGGCUGCAUUGCAGGAUCAUCCACCCUCUGCAGCGGACCAUCUAUGGUAAAGCCAUCAACCACGACACAAGGCAAAACACUUACAAGCUUACAACAUUAUCAACUUAGCCAGGACCUAAAACUCAUCAUCAGCAAGUAUUGAAGAUGAGAAUAGAGGCACCAGGAAAUAUGUGCAACAGAUGCAAGUAACAUAUACAGAAAUUCAACAGGAUCAAACUGUCCGAAACAAGAAUAAAACCAAUCUGCAGAAGCAACAGCUAAUAACUUAAACUACAAUAUACAAAAUGCAAUUGAAACUUUAUUCAACAGAAACUUGGGCAUCCUCAACCAAGGCAUAAACAAAUAUACAAUAUUGCAGCACAGACGCUCCAAACUUUCUAACACCAAAUCAGUUUUCAUUCCAACAUCACUAACAUAAAUUCAUAUGUGAAUAUGCAAUGUUUAACUCCAUUAACUCACUUAUGGACUCUCAAUCAACUUAUCUGUUUCAAGUUGUUUGAUAAUAUGAUACUCAACCUUUUAUACCCAAUCCUUGACAAUCAAUUCGGAAACUAAACAACCAAUGAACCAAUAUACAGUAGUAAUACCACUAGAAAUUGUGCAUUUGAUUGAUCAGUGUUGCCUAUUCAUUUACAUUUACAUAAUUCAUAAGCUGGUGCUUUCAUCCUGUCUGUAUAGUAAUAUAUGUUGAAAUCCCAAGUAAAAACUGGUACCUUCAGAAAACUUGUCUAUUCUACAUUUUUCAAAAGAUAGAACUUCAAAUUGUUCAUUUUUAACAAAUACAGCUCUGCUUUCUAGGUCAACUCAUCUGAGGUAUUGCCGGUUGUUCCAUCUACAGUUAUUGUGACUGCUGUAAAUUGAAAUAGCAGAGGGUUAGGAGAGCCUAAUCACAGUGAAUAACUUCCAGAGAUCUGACAAAAACACAAAAAACAAAAACAAAAAGCAUUGCAAGUAGUAGUUUUUUCAGUUGUAAUAGGAGGGAAUAUAAAAGUCAGAAUACGGUAAAUAUGAGCAGAGUUUCCAGGUAUAGACUCCAAGAUACAUAAUAAGAGAAUAUUCCAAAUUCCAUAUUCCAGACAAGACAUAAAUUGUGUAGCAAAAUCAGUAACAGAAACCAUGAAAAUUUAAUGAAAUGUUGCUGAAAGAAAAACAGAAUUAUUUCUCUUUAAACUUGAACAAACAUCACAUGCAAAUCCCCAGACUUGGAACAAACAGGAAAUCAUAAUUUGGUACAUGCUUAAGUGCAUUUUGUUGCCCUAUACUUGAAUAUGCAAAUAAUACUCAAACUUCACAAAAACUGGAAAUUAUAUUUUGGCACAUGCUUUAGUACAUUUUGUCGAACUAUACUUGGAGUCCAAUAACCAUACCGAUCACAAAUGUCAUCAAAAGUAAUUUAAUUCCUGCCAUAAUGUAACAAAUGGUUCCAAACUUCUACCGGCAAGAUGCACAACUUAGGAAGUGUUCUAUCUACUUAUAAAUUGCAACCAACCCAAAAAGUUCAAUGCACGUAGUCACCAAAUGUCAGUAAAAAAAGGGUAGAGAAACAGCAAGCAUUUGAAAGCUAGACUAAUACUUCAUUGGACAGCUAUUGUAAUGUAAACUACAACGUAUGAGAGACAUGUAGUCCUUAAACAUACAACAAAACAAUGAGACAUGGUACUCUGGAAGUUACAAAAUCUCCACCAGAAGGAAGCAUAGACCACUAAGGAGAUGGUUAAGAUGAAUUUGAAUACAUAUCUCCCUCUUACAAAAAAAUAAAAAAAUAAAUCUAAGAACACAGAUGAAAGAUCUUGUUCUAGAAACUAUGAGAAGACAAUAAUCCCUGAAAGAACUUGCUAAACAAAAAAUGCAUAACUUUUGUAAUGCAAAGGAAGAGGUACAUGCAGAGAACUGAUAUUCAAUCCUAGGUUGUAAUUCAUAAUCGGUGGUUGCAGGAAGCUGAUUUGGAAUCCCAGAUAGGCUUAUAUGAAUGAAUUGAGUGAAAGAUUAAAUAAGUUCUAUCUACAUUGUCCGGGAGGUGUGAAAGUGAAAAUAUCCCUUACUCAACUACCUCUACUACUAACUCGACUACCUAUACAACUGUCCAGAGUGUUUGCCUGAAAUGAUAAAUAAAAAAAUUAAAAGAAAACUUUAAUCUUUGGAUAUGGAAUCAUUUUUAAAGUGAAGAUGAGCAAAACAGAAAACUACAACAUAUCUGAAGCGUCAAGUUAAAGGUGGUGCCAAUCCGUUGGUUUAGGCAUAUUUUACUUCCCUAACCUAAAUAAAUAAAUAAACUUGAAACAAAUUAACAUAAUUUGUAAAACUAACCUUAACAACAAAAGUCCUGUAAAGAACUUUUUCUUUCACUUCUCUGGAAUUCGGUCCACGAAAUGAACUAUCAGAUUGCAGGAGGAAACCGGAAAGAAAGAAUGGAUCCAAUUUUCACCAAAAUACACUAAAUUAAAAUCGAUGAAGUUUGUUUUAGUAGAGGCGAAAUUAGUUAUUAGGCAUGUUGAUCAGUAAAUGAAGAAUCAAAAGCCACAACAUUUUCAGCUAAUGAUUGGUAACUCAAAGGCUUAUACUUUGUUGAUCAAACUUUUUCAGCUAAAAACUUAUAUAAAACUUUUGAUAUCAGUUUUAUACUACCAUUAGGCAAGAUACUGCUUCCAUGUAAAGGCCAUGAUAUAAACAAACAAACUAAAAUAUCAGUUUCAAAUCAAUUGUUUUCAAACCCGACUUACAUCAAAUAACUUGCAGGAAAUUCACCAUCUCCAACCACAAAAACAUAUGCACAGAGUUUGCUCUACUCCAAAGUUGCUCCAAUUAGGUGCACACAGGUCCUGUGACAUGGAAGAAAUCACUCUGAGCAAAUCAAAUUUGUUCGCCGAAAGGUUAGUAGCUUGGAAGACUUGCCCGUGAGUGUGGCCUUCAUCAAGGGGUAAAGCACAAAAGUUGUUCCUUCAAGUUCAUUUCACUGCAUUGUUAAAUAUUGCUAGUUAGAAGUAACCUUAUCUAAUACAGCUAUUUGGAAGAGAGAGAGAGAGAGAGAGAGAGAGAGAUGUACCUGUUCAGUAUACAACAGUCUGGACAAUCUAAGAAUCUAACAGAAUUGCAGAAAACCACAAUGCCACCCAACCUUUUGUAUCCAUAGUGAAGAUUCAACUAACAACACAUACCAUAACUUCAAUAACAUAAUGAAAAACUGAAUAGUCAAAGUUUAUGCCAGACUGACUCAAUGGACAGCCAUACUUACUUUGAUAUAUUGAAUCUCAUUGCAAAGAGCAUCCACCACCUGUGGCCUGCCAUGCAGAACUACUCGGCUCCUUUCUUAAAAGGAUGACACGGUACAAAGGAAAAAACUAUUGAUGAUCUGUUAAUUUUGAACCAUUGUACGUCAUAUUAACAGUUACAGAUUAACCACCUGGCUAAACUUAUAAUAUUGAGCUAUGUCCAAAACAAAGUGGCUACUGUAUAUAGGACUGAUUUGACAUUCCAAACUAUGAAACAAAAGCUUGUUACUGCUAAUGAUCUCUGAUAAAGAUAUCACCUUUCCCUUAGUUGACAAUUAAAUUUCAUAUAGUCAGUUACACCAUUUUGGCUCCAAAAUGAUUCAUAAAGUAUUCGAGAUGAAAAUCACCCAAAACACAAGUCGAAUUGACACUUUGACAGAAUGUAAAUUCAAAUUCAAAGUUAUAGAAAUGUAGAAAACCACAAUGCUAUCGAACCAUUUGUAUGAUCUCCAUAGUUAAGAUAUGAAUAGGCAAUGUCAAUUCAACUAACACAUACCAUAACUUCAAUAACAACACAAUGAAAAACCGAACAAUCAAAAUUUAUGCCAGACAGACUUCAAAGGACAGCCAUAUACUUGCUUUGAUAUAUUGAAUCUCACUGCAAAGAGCGUCCACUGCCUGUGGCCUGCUAUGCAUAACUACUCGGCUCCUUUCUUACUUCUCUUGGCUGUCUUGGGCUUUGCUUCUUCACUCUUCAACUUCACAGGCUCACUCUUCCUCUUCUCCUUCUUUCCAACAGCCUCUCCUCCUUUGCCAGACAGCUCGUCUCCUUUCUUCUUUGAAACAUCUUUUUUCUUGUCUUUCGCAGACAACACAUCAUUCUUAUGCUUCCCAACGACAACAGCAUCAUCCUUAACCUUAACUGACUUCUUCAAUGGUUUCUCCACAUUCGAUGCAACGUCAUCUUUCACCUUGACUGACUUCUUCAAUGGUUUCUCCACAUUCGAUGCAAUGUCAUCUUUCGCCUUAACUGACUUCUUCAAUGGUUUCUCCACAUCCGAUGCAACGUCAUCUUUCGCCUUAACCGACUUUUUCAACUGUUUCUCAACAUCUUCACCUUUCACCUUGCCCGACUUAGGAUUAACCACCUUCCUCGUAGGCUUCUCAGAAAUUUCCAAGUCUUCAUGUACCAGCUUAGCUUUCUUGUCCUUCUGUUCCUUGGGCCUCUUAGACUCACCGACAUCCUUCUCCUUGAUCCUCUUUGACUUUCUCACCUCACCAUCAUUCUCACUAGCUUUACCAUUAGACUCGUCCACAACCUUCUCCUUCUUCCUCUUCCCAUUAACCUUGCCUUCCCCAACACCAUCCUUCCCUGAUUUCUCCUCAACAACCACCUCGCCAGCAUUGCUAUCCAAAUACCUCACUUCAUGAAUCAUCCCCUUCUUCUUCCCCACCUUCUCCUUCUUCAGUUCCUUACUCUCCGCCUUCCCAACCUCCUUCACUUCCCCCACAGCCUUCUCACUCCCCUCAACCUUCACCGCCUCAUCCGGCACAGUCUGAUACACCGGCAGCGCAAUCGACUCCAACAGCUUCAAAUGCAAAGACCUCACCCCGCCCCAAUUCCCCGGCACAAUCUCCACAACCCCUUGUAUCGCCGCAACCGCAUUCUCCACAAUCUCCUCCUCACUCAUCGAAGUCCUCGCCACCCUCACCACACAACAAGUCCCGGUACUCAAAAACAACAUCGCCGAGCCGCAAAUCCUCUCAAUCUGCUCCUUCCAAUUCUUCUUGAGCAAGUCCACCGGCACCGGAAUCCUCUUCUUCUUGAAGAAAUGCUUCCCCAGCAGGCGCGGCAGCAGCGGCACGAUCUGCUUGUCCGCCAGAAACAUAUCAUACGAGUUCAUAAGCUUCCUUUUCGACUCGAAAGCCUUGUAAUCCGAUUUCAGCUUGGUAUACUUCAAUAUCUUGACCACGGGGAGAUUCUCGGCCUUGAUCUUGGCCUGGAUUUGGGGCUUGGUGAGCUUGGACUUGGGGCGGUCGUCGUAGAUGAGGCAGAACUCGGUGAGGGGGGAGUGGAGGGGAGUCGGGAGUGGGACCUUGUAGGCGUUCACGCGGCCCUUGGGUGGGAUUUUCUUGAGGGUCACGACCAGGUAGAGGAGCUCGUCGGACUCCAGGAGAUCGGGUUUUUGGGACUCCGACUUGGUGGCUCGCCAUUUCAGAAGGGCGUGCACGGCGUUUCGGGCGGUUUCGGUGGUUACCUUGGUGGUGGAGGAGGAAGGAGGUGGGGUGAGUGCGGCGGCCAUGGAGGCGGAGGAAGAGGUAGAGAGAGAGAGAUGGAGGGUAGGGUUUAAGCGCAGAGAGAGAAAGAGAUGUUAGAAGAGAGGAGGGGUUUAGGGUUUUCUGGAGGGGAUGAUUAGGAUUUGGGGCUUCUUUAUUUGGGCCUGGAUGGUUGGUUGUUUGGUUUGGGCCAGGAGCACCAUUUUGCAAAUCAAAAAACACCAAAGUAAACUCGUGUUAAACUCGAUUCAGUGUGUGGAAAAACCUCCUUCUGGAAGGUUACUACUUUCGAUAGAUGGCUUAUUAAUGUCUACAAUCAAUGCCCAACAAUUUGAUUAGCACUAUCGGCAGUUGUUAGACAUCACAAGAUCAAUUCUGAUGUUUUUUUUGUACCCACCCGGAAAAUAGACGGGGUGUGUUAAUAACAUCAACUAAAAAAAUGUGAAGUUGAAGGAACUGUUUAUCUUCAUAGAAUACAGAAUGACGUAAAUAUAAAUUUUGUUUGACCAAAUUCCUAGUUAAAGAAAACAUAUAAAAUGAACUAAAGGUUCACAAGAAAUGUCAAUGGUCUUGUUCCAAAAACAAAAACCGUUUCCUUUUUAUGCUUUACCAAAAGAACUCACUCACUCCCACAUACACAAUUUUACCGUUAUGAAAUGAUGAGGCUCUUGGUUGUAGCAUUAAGCUCUUUACACCACAAUCCCGCCCCUUUUAACUUCCAAAGGGCCCGUCCCCCAUAACCCUUCUCUGCAAUGUCACGUUUAGCAUUUCCCUCCCUUACCGUUUCAAUUUCAAAAACGUAAACAAAGUGAAUUCCACUAGUCACAACUCAUGUAGCAGUGUGAGACAGACUUAAAUUUCGAAACCGAAAACCACCUUCUUUACUCCACCCACCAUUCUUGUUCUUCUUCUUCUUCUUCAUUGUUAUUAAAGCUCAUAAUUCAUAACAACCAGUCAAGAGUAAUGCCUUCACGUCCAAAGAAAAAACCAUCAAAGAAGAAGCUCAAGCAUUCCGCAGCACAACUCAUCAUCCACCACUCGCUACCUACCAUUCAAAUCCAUGUCCCAGGUAAUUGCGUAUUUCAUUUAUCUAAUUUUUCUUAGAUUCUAAUUCGUUGUCACCUCGCUUAGUUGGCAAAUAGGGUUGCACUCGUUUGACUUAUCUGCGAUCCAUCUGUCUAAAAGCUUCCUUUUCUUUUCUUAAUCAGAAAGGUUUGUGGAAACUAAUUCAGACGUGAAGUUUUGUUGUGAGGAAGAAUUAAGUGGUUGUGAGACUGCUUCUGUGACUUGUCAAGACCAUUCUUGCCAUCCAAACUUAGUAGCUGAAGAGGGACAAGAGAGGAGUAAGUUUUCUGCAGAUCAUCAUCACCAAAUGGCGGAUUCAUCAAACGGAAACGGAAAGUUAGAGGAGAGUGAGAAAGUUCAAGAGGGUGAAGUGGUUGAAUCUGUAAGGGAUAUAGCUAUUGAUGACUACUCGGUAGAGCAUGCGAAAAAGACACAUGAAGAGCCGGCUGAAGCUGCUGAGGAGAGUCCUGAAGUUGUGGAAUCAGGAGAUGUAGUGGAAGAGAAAGAAGACGAGGUUGUUCCAGUCUCGAUUGUGGAGAAGGAAACUUCUGUUGUUGAACCAGAAGUGAAGGAAGAAAAGGAGGAGGAGCAAUAUGUGCCAUCUGUGGCUGAGACAGAUGGACCUUCUCCUGUUGUAGAAGAUGAUGUGUCAGAGGAGAUUGAGGAGAAGACUAAAACAGAUUUGGUCUCUAACGGGGUUGAGGAAUCAACAUUGCCGUCUUUGAGUGAGGUGACAACAAAUGUGGUGUCGAAAGGAAUUGAAGAAACUGAAGUGCCUUGUUCAGAGGAGAAGGAAGAGGAGGAAGUUGUUACAGCUGCAAAGGGAAUUGAAGAAGUAAAAUUGCCAGUUAUUGAAGAGAUUAGUACUGGGGAGUCAUCAGGUGCUGAUUACAAGGCAACUAGUGAAAGUGUUGAUGAUGAGACAUUGAAACCGUCGCCUGAGGUUCCAGUUCCUCCUCCAGUUGAAUCAACUGAUGCUGGAGAAGGGUAUGGCAAGCGUGAGAUACCUGAAACUGCAGAAAAGCCGGUAAUGUUAUUCAAGAAAAAAACACUGUUCUUUGUAUUGCAAGUAUCAUUUUUAAUUUGUUGGCCUGCUAACAUUCAUAUUUGUUCUGGUUUCAGUCUAUUGUAUCUGUGACAAGAGCCCCCCUUCAACCAACUUCAUGGAGGAGUUGUUGCGGCCUUUUUGAAGUUCUGCACCGAUCUGAUAGAUGAUUCAAGGUAAUCACCCGGAAUUUAAUACAUGUUCCUUAGAAAUUUACACUAAUUUACAAAUAAAAGUCCGGCAACUUCUGUUUGAAUCUAAUAACUAAGCACUUCAUCGCCCUAACAGAAUUCAGAUUUAUGAUAUAUACCUUACCUGUUUGCUUGGUUUAUGGUUAACAUUACUUAGUUUGUUAUUAAGUGAAUCAUUAGCUAUUUAGGUUAGUGUCUGAAAUCAAUGGCUUAUACUGGAAAAUUUUAAAUGCUAAUUAAGGACUUGUAGAUGAAAAGUCCCUUUACUGAUAUUAAUAGGAAGAACAAGACACAUUCAAUGUGAUUUUCAUAGGUAGUUAUGGAUUCCCUUUAACACGAAAACGAAACUGAGGGAACUGUUAGAACUCAGAAGGGUAGCUCCUAACGAAAAGCUGCCUUCUAAAUUGCCUUUACCAAUCUAUCAAGAUCAACUUUAAGGAUUGGGAGCAGAGAUCAUUUUCGCUUUUGGUCGAUUAGUCGACAUAUAAACUUUUACUUAAGUUUGGGUGAACUGACCAAAUCAAAGUCUGCAAUGUGCUGUAACGUGCUGUCAUAACACACUUUCUGGUUCUGUAUUGGAAUAAUGCUCACCAUGGCUUCAAAGUUGGCUUAGCAGUUACUCCAGCAUCAUAUAUAUGAAUGGGUCCAUAUAACUCACUGUCACACCAUUCUCAUACAGAUCAUCAUGCACAUAGUGAUAACCAGCCUGUUUCUGUAAAUCUGACCUGAUUUUUUGCUUUUAUUCUAAUGGUGCAGCUGAUGAGUGGAACUGAACUAUGGAUGAUGAAG